AGGAAAUGGUUUCGAUUCUUUGCAGCUAUAGUACGAUACAGAGAAGAUUAACAUGUCCCCUGCGCAAGGAUGACACGCAAAUUCUCAAAAGGGAACUCAGGCAU